AGCACCGCGAGUGACAACUCGAGAGGUGGACAGCUACAGCGCUUAUCACCGUCUUUUUCCGUAUGUAAUAAUAGUCAUUUAAGGAAACAUGGUCCGAGAAUAAUUACCGGUGUCAGAACAAUCACCUUGGAUUGAUAAUGCGCAGUGGUAUAAGGUUUACGAAGAAACUAUAGAGCUUUAAAUAUUGAGUUUACAGCCUUCUACAUGUUACAACUGGUAAAAACUAGGGAGGAUGAAACGAAUCUCUAUACCAACUAUACGGCAUAACCGAUGUUACAACUGGUAAAAACUAGAGACGAUGAAACGAAUCUCUAUACCAACUAUACGGCAUAACCGAUGUUACAACUGGUAAAAACUAGAGAAGAUGAAACGAAUCUCUAUACCAACUAUACGGCAUAACCGAUGUUACAACUGGUAAAAACUAGAGAGGAUGAAACGAAUCUCUAUACCAACUAUACGGCAUAACCGAUGUUACAACUGGUAAAAACUAGAGAGGAUGAAACGAAUCUCUAUACCAACUAUACGGCAUAACCGAUGUUACAACUGGUAAAAACUAGAGAGGAUGAAACGAAUCUCUAUACCAACUAUACGGCAUAACCGCGAAACAGGCAAGACUGUGAAAUACACUCCUUGUUCUAAACAUGAUUUAAACCUGGGAGAUGAUCUGGACGAAAUAGCUGUUAUAAGCAACGCUGCGCCAGAAAACGUCAAGUAUGGUACCGGAUCUCUGACCGCCAACGGGCCACGAGUGGUGCCGGGAAUUAUAACGUCUACCGGGAUGGAACACUCUCGUCUCGUUAAUGAGAAAAGAAGUUCGAGUAGCACUCGUCUCCCGAUAUCAUCACCUCUCUACACCACAAAAUCAUUUGAAAAUUUAAAAUCAAAAUCUGCUUCAAGGCAAAGCCUGCUGGAAACAGCGAGCAGCAAACUGCACGGUAGAGACCAUAAGCAGCGAUCACGAGAAUCUAUAACCUUUAGCCACAAAACACACAUGGGGUCAGAAUUGGAGAUUUCUCGAAAAGUAAGAGAGCAUCGACGGAAAGAAAUCAAGCGAGAAUUUGAAAAAUGGGAAACGUCUACUUCAAGUAGCGAAAAGGAUGGCUGUAACUGGACGUUUGUUUUUGAUCCAUCAGGCAGUUUGUCCUAUUAUUGGUCAAUGAUUGUAAGUGUUGCUUUUCUCUAUAAUUUCUGGGUAGUGAUCUUUCGGUUUGCCUUUAAUGAAAUAAAAGCGAAUACCAUUGUGGCCUGGUUAACUUUAGAUUAUUUUGCAGACAUUCUGUAUGCUUUAGACAUUGUUUUUCAUUUUCGUACCGGAUAUCUGGAAGAAGGAGUGCUACAGACCGACACAAUUAAGCUUCGCCAUCAUUAUAUGAAUUCAACUCUAUUUUAUAUUGAUUGUUUAUGUCUCUUGCCUAUCGAUUUCCUUUAUCUUUCCAUUGGAUUUAACUCAAUUCUUCGCUGUCUUCGACUGGUAAAAAUUUAUAGGUUUUGGACAUUUUUGGAUCGAACUGAGCGACAUACAAACUACCCAAAUGUCUUUCGUACGGUGAUUCUGACUCAUUAUGUUCUCGUAAUCUUCCACUGGAACGCCUGUCUAUUUCAUAUAAUAUCAGUAAAUGGAGGAUUCGGUACACGCAGCUGGUUUAACCCUCGCGAUGAAACCUGCAAUGAUGUAGUAUGUGAAUACCUUCGUUCUUUUUAUUGGAGUACCUUAGCACUGACCACCAUUGGAGAUCUGCCAAGUCCCCGAACUAAAGGAGAAUACCUCUUCCUCGUCGUUGAGCUAGUCUUUGGGCUGUUCCUCUUUGCUGCUGUGUUGGGCCAUGUGGCUAACAUUGUCACCAACGUGAGCACAGCAAGGAAAGAAUUUCAAUUGUAUAUAUACAUACACACAUUCUAACAUUCCUCCAGGUUGUUAUAUCGUCUUUAAAGAAUUAUUGGUUGCGUUUUGUUGUUGUUGUAAUUAUUUAUCAUAAGUGCACAUUGGUCUUUCUUAUAAAAACUCAUUAUUCAUUAGCCUGUUAUUAUUUCAUUAGUGCAUCAACAUUGCAAGUAUAACAUGAUUGUGACAAA
rnacentral:sRNA from 1 species